UACAGAGGUCUCAAGCGUUUGUUCGGAUUCAUUGGGCGUAAAGGGUGCGUAGGUGGCGCUGUAAGUCAGGUGUGAAAUUUCGGAGCUCAACUUCGAAACUGCAUUUGAUACUGCGGUGCUUGAGGACUGGAGAGGAGACUGGAAUUUACGGUGUAGCAGUGAAAUGCGUAGAGAUCGUAAGGAAGACCAGUGGCGAAAGGCGGGUCUCGUGGACAGUUCCUGACGCUGAGGCACGAAGGUCAGGGGAGCAAACGGG
rnacentral:rRNA from 1 species